AUGGACCAAAUUGAAUUCAUUGGGCACAGGUUGCGAAUGAAAUUACUCAGACGUUACGUUUACCUGGUCUAUUCCGAAUUCGGCUUUGUUCCUUCAACAAACAACAAUUGGAUUAAAAAGAUACAAACUUUGCAUAUAACUUCCAACAUUAGUAUAACCCGAAAUCAUAAAAGAUCAUGGUGUUCCAUGUCACAUUAUUCCUCGUGCUUUCUGAUAUCUCCUAUGGUUGUACCACUAAUCAUACUGAUAUGUAACACAGCCCCAAACAAACCAAAUAACAACCCACAAAAAUGA